rnacentral:lncRNA from 1 species
CCCCAAGCGGCUCCUUCAACCCCUGAGAUCUUAAACAAAAUCUCUGGCUUUUCUUCUGACCUGGGAAGGAGGAACUCCGGCUGUGGUGGCCGUGUGCUGUGAACAGAAAGAACCCAUGCUGGUACACCAGGCAUGUGCUGCCACACUGGGUUACAUGGCUCUGGGGACGAGGCCCAGUGAGGCCAACAGUCUACCAACUGAGCUAACUGCCAGCUGCGCCCUCCCAAUCCCAAGCCUGGAAGAUGCGGGUAGCACGGGGCGAGAUUUCUGACCUACAACACCUCCCAUGCCAGCACUGGAGACUGAGGCAUGGAUUCUGAGGCCAGCCUGGGCUACCAAAGAAGAUCUUGUUUCAAAAAGAAAAAGAGAAAAGAAAAAAGAAAAUUAAAAUGGAGUAACCCUCAAGUGCUCAGAGAGCGGCAGGGGGCCUACUGGGCUCCGCCCACUGCUACAAUGUUUCCCCAUGAGAUCACUAGGUCAUUACCCAGUUGGGAAGAGGAGUAUAGCUGACACCAGGCCAGCAGUUUAAACUGGAUACAGGAGGACUCACAUGCAAGAUCCACUUCCAGAAGGUCCCAAGGUACCUCGCACCCUUGUCCCCAUCCAGGUGAGUGUGGAAGGGGGUUAGUGUGGGAUGGGAGCAGAGCAUCUUAGUGCAUUAUGGAAAGCUCUGAAGUGUGGGGUCCAGUGACCGCUCUGCUGCCCACAGCCGUAGGCGAGGACAGAUAAGGUGGGGACAGGGGGACAGGCCAGUGAGAGAAACAAGGGAGACCAGCCCACAAGGGCCUCAUACCUGGUUCUUCCAAGCAUGGCAGUCCCAUGGUAUGUGGCUGUGUGGCCAAGCCAGUGCAGACUUAGGGGUAACCUGAGACCUGAGCAUGGCUGGCAUUGUUGUAUGAAUGUGAAUUCUGGGGUCGCCAUGCUUGUGCUCUGAGCUGAGUAAGGCUCUCAACAUAAAUGAGGGAGGUGGGGCCCAGCAAGAUGGCUCAGCAGGUAAAGGUGCUUGCAGCCAAGUCUUGAUGAAUAAAAUUCAAUUCCCAUU